rnacentral:rRNA from 1 species
CGCUCUUCGCUAAAGGUUCUAGUGUAUGAGGAGUCCUGCCUGCCCGGUGACUUUUAUGGUUAAACGGCCGCGGUAUUUUGACCGUGCAAAGGUAGCAUAAUCAUUUGCCUCUUAAAUAGAGGCUGGUAUGAAUGGCAAGACGGGGGUUUGACUGUCUCUUUCUUAGGAAGGUUGAAUUUAAUGUUUCUGUGAAGAAGCAGAGAUAAUAUCGUAGGACGAGAAGACCCUGUCGAGCUUAAAUAGUAAUAGUUAAGUAUUGGAAGUAUUCUUAUGCUAAUUUAUUCUUGGAGAGAUAAGAGGAUUUACAUAAGAUAUGAUUAUACUAUAUUGUUUUUUGUUUUGAUUGGGGCAAUUGCGGAGAAAAUAUAACCUCCGUUGUAAGUAUUAGUAUUAAAAGUUACUUCUUUUGUAGUAUAAAAAUGUGUAUUUAUGAUCCACUGGGAAUUGAGUAAAGGAAUAAGUUACCGCAGGGAUAACAGCGUAAUUUUUUUGGAGAGUUCAUAUUGAUAAGAAAGUUUGCGACCUCGAUGUUGGAUCGGGAUUUCCAGGAGAUGCAGCAGUUUCCAAGGGUUGGUCUGUUCGACCAUUAAAAUCCU